AUUGAACGCUGGCGGCGUGCUUAACACAUGCAAGUCGAACGAUGAAGUUCCUUCGGGAAUGGAUUAGUGGCGAACGGGUGAGUAAUACAUCGGAACGUACCUUAUCGUGGGGGAUAACGCAGCGAAAGCUGUGCUAAUACCGCAUACGCCCUGAGGGGGAAAGCGGGGGAUCGCAAGACCUCGCGCGAUUAGAGCGGCCGAUGCCUGAUUAGCUUGUUGGUGGGGUAAAAGCCCACCAAGGCGACGAUCAGUAGCUGGUCUGAGAGGACGAUCAGCCACACUGGGACUGAGACACAGCCCAGACUCCUACGGGAGGCAGCAGUGGGGAAUUUUGGACAAUGGGGGCAACCCUGAUCCAGCAAUGCCGCGUGAGUGAAGAAGGCCUUCGGGUUAUAAAGCUCUUUUGUCAGGGAAGAAACACCGGCUCUAACACAGUCCGGGAAUGACGGUACCUGAAGAAUAAGCACCGGCUAACUACGUGCCAGCCGCCGCGGUAA
rnacentral:rRNA from 1 species